UGUCAUCGAUGCGUCCAGGGUAACGCCC
rnacentral:sRNA from 1 species